rnacentral:rRNA from 1 species
AUGGCAGUUGUUGCUCUGGCGGGCGCCGACUUGGCAGCGGACAGCAAGUUGUGCGCGGAGAAGCUGGCUGUGCUGGCGACGUGCUUGCCCGUCGUGGAGGCGACGGCGACGGUGCGUGCGCCCACGCCGGAGUGCUGCGCCGGGCUCCGGGAAGUUCUGGGUGACAGCAAGAAGUGCCUGUGCGUGCUGACCAAUGACCGCGACGACCCGGCCAUUGGGAUAAAAGUCAACGUCACCCGCGCCAUGGACCUCCCCUCCGCCUGCUCCGUCCCCGCCGUCCUCUCCGACUGCCCGAGUACGUACUGCUCAUAUCCGAUCGGCCGGUGCUGCGCCACCGUGCCUGCGUGUAUGCUAAAUUGCUAA